AGGAGCAGGAGGAGGAGGAGGAAGAGGAGGAGGAGGAGCAGCAGGAGGAGAAGGAGGAGGAAGAGGAGCAGGAGCACUAGGAGGAGGAGGCGGGACCUCUGCUGUGACUGACAGCUCUGAGAGCCAAUGGGGACGUUGACGUGCUUCCUGUUGUGCUGCCUUCAGGGCCCCUCGGACGUUUCUGAUUCAGAUGCCAGAAGCUGAAGAGAGAUGAAGGCAGAGAAGAGAAGAUCCUCAUCAUCAUCAUCCUCAUCAUGAUGCAGCCUUCUGACGCCACCUAGUGGCAGAACAAAGAAAUGAUCUCCACAGAGUGAAUCAGGUCCAGAUGAUUUAUUAACACAGUGUGUUAUUACAGAUAUAUUGAGAUGAUGUGAGUGAUGAUUAGGCAUUUAAAUAAGAUAUAAGUUAGAAGUGAACACUGAUCAACAUGCAGCCUCCUCUUGGUAAUGAUUGUCCCGUUACUGUUCCCCAAAAACACCUUCAAGUAUCUUCUGAAAUGUACGAAAUAAACAGUAAAAUAACUUCAGUCAAAUCUCAU